rnacentral:rRNA from 1 species
AUUGCCUACGGGAGGCAGCAGUGGGGAAUAUUGCACAAUGGGGGAAACCCUGAUGCAGCAACGCCGCGUGAGUGAUGACGGCCUUCGGGUUGUAAAGCUCUGUCUUCAGGGACGAUAAUGACGGUACCUGAGGAGGAAGCCACGGCUAACUACGUGCCAGCAGUCGCGGUAAUACGUAGGUGGCGAGCGUUGUCCGGAUUUACUGGUCGUAAAGGGAGCGUAGGCGGAUUUUUAAUUGAGAUGUGAAAUACUCGGGCUC